GCCUUUGCAAGCCCUUAUAGUUGCUCUGUGGCAUAAAAAUCAGUGCUGCUCACCAGAAAGAGGAACUACAGCAUGACUUACUGCUGAACUGGUUGCUGCAGUAAGCAACAGGAGAAUGCUACAAGCUUUCAGCAGCUGCUACCAUCUUAUUGAGCUUCGCCAUCCCAUGGGAGGAGGACCAGAGCCAGAGCCUUCCCUGCACUUGCCAGGAAAUCCACGGGUUUAUAGAUUUGAAGACUUGGAGGAGGCUAUCAUGAGCGUCUUCUCUAAACCAGUGUGGAACAUGGCCAUUCUACGUUCUGCAACGGCUUUCUUUCCUUCUACCAACUGGUCUCUGUGUGCAGCUGAACGCUUGGAAGAUCUGCAAUGUGAAGCUCAGAGGGUCAUCUUCAGAAUGUUAUUUCUCUACUUAUAAACCUCAAGUGAUGGAACUCGAGUGACUCAGCAUGACAUUUCUCCUGAUUAGGAAACAUUUUGCAAUUUCAUUUUAUGAUAUAUCAAUAAAAUUUUAUCUUUCCC
rnacentral:lncRNA from 7 species